UGUAGUUUUGGUUUGGCGUUGCCAUGGAGACGCAGAGGAGAAACCAGAACCAGAUGAAGGAGCAGAAAGUGGAGCCGGGCGGCGCUACAUCUGCUGCAGCUGCAGGUUUUUUUUUCUGAUCGGACUCACAGAGACUUGGAAACAAACUCGGUUACCUCGACGCUUCACGUCCUGGUUUCAGCCUGAAGCCCCAGGACCAGAUCAGAGUCUAAUCAACAUGGAUGCUGAAAAGAAUCUGAGCUUCCUGCUCGUCGUGGUGAGUCACUGCGCUUCGCUUCGCCGCGCCGCGCCACGCCGCGCCGCCAUGGAUGAAAGUGGAAUUAGUGCCGGUUAAUUCGUCCUGACAGUUGGAAAUGUUAAAUCCUGCAGGGGGCUCGGCUUAGCGCGCCGCGCUCUGCCUAAGUAGGUUAAACACAAACCGGAGUGAUCAAUCUGCAGACGCUCGACUGAAACUACGGAACCGGCUGGAAACUCCUGGAAACCAGCAGAACCAGCAGGAACACCAACUGGAACCAGUAACCAUGCAGGUCCAGAUGAGUUCUGGCUCCAGAGGUUCUGACUCCAGAACUGAGAUGAAGAAGAACUUUCAUUUUUCCUCCAAUCAUUUGGUAAAAAUAAAUGUCAAAGGUCAGAUUUUUAUGUUUCUUCUUUUUUACUUUCCCUCUUUUAAAGCGACAGGGUGUGACUUUCAUAAAGAGCCAAUCAGAGCCAGGAGGCGGGGCUUAGCGCUGUCAAUCAUCCUAAUGGUUAAUGGUGGACAAACAACUCACUGUUACAGGAAAACCGUUUAUCGGCCAGCAUCAGUGUCUGACAGGGAGAAGCACUCAGGCGUGAUUGACGGCGCUAGGCCCCGCCCCCUGGCUCUGAUUGGUUGUUUCUACUUAACACAGGGAGAAAAUGGAGCAGAUCGAUUUUUCAUAGAUUAUUGUCUCAUAGCAAACUGUCACAACAUGGAGACAGUUUCAACAAAUAUGUAAAAUAAUAUUUUUAUAAAUUACA